GAUGAACGCUGGCGGCGUGCCUAAUACAUGCGAGUCGAGCGAACGGACGAGAAGCUUGCUUCUCUGAUGUUAGCGGCGGACGGGUGAGUAACACGUGGAUAACCUACCUAUAAGACUGGGAUAACUUCGGGAAACCGGAGCUAAUACCGGAUAAUAUUUUGAACCGCAUGGUUCAAAAGUGAAAGACGGUCUUGCUGUCACUUAUAGAUGGAUCCGCGCUGCAUUAGCUAGUUGGUAAGGUAACGGCUUACCAAGGCAACGAUGCAUAGCCGACCUGAGAGGGUGAUCGGCCACACUAGAACUGAGCCACGGUCCAGACUCCUACGGGAGGCAGCAGUAGGGAAUCUUCCGCAAUGGGCGAAAGCCUGACGGAGCAACGCCGCGUGAGUGAUGAAGGUCUUCGGAUCGUAAAACUCUGUUAUUAGGGAAGAACAUAUGUGUAAGUAACUGUGCACAUCUUGACGGUACCUAAUCAGAAAGCCACGGCUAACUACGUG
rnacentral:rRNA from 1 species